GUGGGGAAUCUUGCGCAAUGGGCGAAAGCCUGACGCAGCCAUGCCGCGUGGAUGAUGAAGGUCUUAGGAUUGUAAAAUCCUUUCACCGGUGAAGAUAAUGACUGUAGCCGGAGAAGAAGCCCCGGCUAACUUCGUGCCAGCAGCCGCGGUAAUACGAAGGGGGCUAGCGUUGCUCGGAUUUACUGGGCGUAAAGGGCGCGUAGGCGGACAUUUAAGUCAGGGGUGAAAUCCCGGGGCUCAACCUCGGAACUGCCUUUGAUACUGGGUGUGUGGAUAAUGAGAGAGGUGUGUGGAACUCCGAGUGUAGAGGUGAAAUUCGUAGAUAUGCGGAAGAACACCAGUGGCGAAGGCGACACACUGGCUCAUUACUGACUCUGAGGCGCGAAAGCGUGGGGAGCAAACAGGAUUAGAAACCCCCGUAGUCC
rnacentral:rRNA from 1 species